GAAGAUAUUAUAGCCGUACCCAAAUACAAUAUUAUGUGAUUUUCUCACAUUCACAUUACUAUUUUGCCAGCUUUGCAUGGCUAAUAAGGUGCCAAAAACUAAAUUCAUACUGCACUUUUAUUUUUCCAUUUUCAUUUCUUAAGUAUUAAGAAACAAUCAGAUGGCAGACAAUUUCUCUAAUUAAUUUGUCUCUUUGUACAAACAAGCUUCGAGUUCUUGUCCGUGACUAUUGAUGACUUCACAAACGUUGCCUGAUAUCAGAGAAGAAAAUAAAUUAAAAGUGGAAAAGAAAAGCUAAUUUGUUAUACUUCCUGUAUGACAAGAAAACAGAUCGACAAGUAACAAAAUUUGAUUAAUUGAUAACCUAACGCAUAAAAGAAAAGAAAAAAGGCAGCUAAAAUAUGGCAGAUAGAGCAGUUAAGAAUUAAUUUAAUAACAUAAGUUUGUAAUUGUAACUGAAUUACGUAAUUAUGAGUUGAAGCCCACAUGAGAGUUCACUGGCAAGCAUAGCUCCUUCUGUCACGCCAUGUGAUCGCUAAUUCUAAUUCACUAAAAUGGGCAGCAACUGCAAAAAUAAGAC
rnacentral:lncRNA from 1 species